rnacentral:misc_RNA from 1 species
UCGUUCGGUUUGGUUGGCUCCUUGCUCACGUGCAACGAACUAUCAAGCCUCGAUCCUCUUCAUUUGAAAGCCCCGAUGCCUUGUGCACUUCGGGGAACGGAUGGUUCCUGUGUUGAUUACCCACUAUGGAGGAAAUCAAUUGUUCGUUUGAUCUUUAUUCGCUCUUUCUUCUUUUUAAGAAAAAGGGCGGACCAAGUAGUUUUGCCUGUGUUCCAAGCAUGCUGAAAUCGGUUGCUAUGGCCYAUGGGCAAAUACUCGUGCUCUCGGGUGCAGAAAGUCAUGAGGGCGGACGAGACACUCUUGUCCAUUUGCCCAAUUGUUCCUUGAAAUGAACGAUGUCCGUUCUCGUGUUGAUUUGGUCAUUACCUUUGGGAAUGAUGCGGUCAAUCGAGUUUCGGUGUCGAGAAGGAA